UACGUAGGGGGCAAGCGUUGUCCGGAUUUAUUGGGCGUAAAGAGCGUGUAGGCGGCCAGACAGGGCAGAUGUGAAAACUCGAGGCUCAACCUCGAGACGUCGGUUGAAACCGUCUGGCUAGAGUCCGGAAGAGGAGAGUGGAAUUCCCGGUGUAGCGGUGAAAUGCGCAGAUAUCGGGAAGAACACCCGUGGCUAAGGCGGCUCUCUAGUACGGUACUGACGCUGAGACGCGAAAGCGUGGGGAGCGAACAGG
rnacentral:rRNA from 1 species